GAGGAGGUCUGAUAUAUAUCUGAUUUCAGACAGAAUUUUAUCUCAUUGAGUAAACUGGAUUCGAAAGACUACAAGACAGUGGCUGGUGGAGGAGUUCUGAAGGUGUUGCACAGUGAUAAUAUUAUUUUAGAGAAAAAAAAAGAUGAUGAAAAGAUAUUACUACCUGGUGGGGAGCCUAGUGCAAGGUGAAGCUUCAGGAGUCAGGAGCCCUAAAGGAUGUGGAGCUCCAGAUGGAGGUAGAUUGGAUACGAAACUUAAGAUUCGAAAGGAUGAGAGACGAUAUCAUAGGGUAAGAUUUCUAUUGCCGCAGGAGGAUAUCCCGAGCAGAUCUC
rnacentral:lncRNA from 1 species